AAACAUUUUUGUGAGAAUAUAUUUUUAGUAUAACCUGCUCCAUGCAGUAAAUAGCUGCAGUAUUUUAACUGUACAAAGGUAGCAUAAUCAUUAGUUUCUUAAUUGGGAGCUCGAAUGAAUGGUUUAACAUGAAAUUUCUGUUCUAAUGUGAAUUUUAUUUCUGAGUUAGAAAGCUUAGUUAAUUAAAAGGGACGAGAAGACCCUGUAGAAUUUAAGAGAGAGGUAUUUUUGUUGGGGUGACUAAAAUUAACUUUCUUUCAGGUGGAUGGGUGAGGAUCCUUAUUGGAUAUUAAGAUAAAAUUACCUUAGGGAUAACAGCAUAAUUUUUCUUAAAAGAUCUUAUUUAUAGAAGAGAUUGUGACCUCGAUGUUGAAUUGAUAAUAUUUAGAUGCAGAAAUUAAAUA
rnacentral:rRNA from 1 species